rnacentral:lncRNA from 10 species
GCCCUUUGCUGCGGCAGCUUUCUGUUCUCCCUGGCUCCCUGCACGGAACUGAGCUUUGGUGUGUGAUGCGCUGCUGGCCCAGGCUACACCCCGACAAGGGACACCGGGGGCCCCGGGAGCAGAGAGACCUCAGAGCAGCCUCCUCCUGCCUCCUGUGGACGGCCGGCCCCAGCUGGUGAUCCCAGCCAGUCCCAGCUUUCAGUUGCUGCCCCCACCGACAGUCCUCAGUCCCUCCAUGAUGGCUCCCCCGACAGCCGGCCCCCUUCCUGGCCCAGCUCUUCCGCCUGAGGACCCAGGGCCGGAUCCGGAGAGCAGGUGGCUUUUCUUGAGCGCCAACAUUCUGCCCGUGGGUGAGUGAGGCCCUGGCUACC